UAGGGAAUCUUCCGCAAUGGACGCAAGUCUGACGGAGCAACGCCGCGUGAGUGAAGAAGGAUUUCGGUUCGUAAAACUCUGUUGUCAGAGAAGAACAGCGCAUAGAGUAACUGUUAUGCGUGUGACGGUAUCUAACCAGAAAGCCACGGCUAACUACGUGCCAGCAGCCGCGGUAAUACGUAGGUGGCAAGCGUUGUCCGGAUUUAUUGGGCGUAAAGCGAGCGCAGGCGGUCAAUUAAGUCUGAUGUGAAAGCCCCCGGCUCAACCGGGGAGGGUCAUUGGAAACUGGUUGACUUGAGUGCAGAAGAGGAGAGUGGAAUUCCAUGUGUAGCGGUGAAAUGCGUAGAUAUAUGGAGGAACACCAGUGGCGAAGGCGACUCUCUGGUCUGUAACUGACGCUGAGGUUCGAAAGCGUGGGUAGCAAACAGG
rnacentral:rRNA from 1 species